UGGGGAAUCUUGCACAAUGGGCGAAAGCCUGAUGCAGCAACGCCGCGUGCGGGAAGAAGGCCUUAGGGUUGUAAACCGCUUUCAGCAGGGAAGAAACUGACGGUACCUGCAGAAGAAGGUGCGGCCAACUACGUGCCAGCAGCCGCGGUGACACGUAGGCACCAAGCGUUGUCCGGAUUUAUUGGGCGUAAAGAGCUCGUAGGCGGUUCGGUAAGUCGGGUGUGAAAACUCUGGGCUCAACCCAGAGACGCCACCCGAUACUGCUGUGACUCGAGUGCGGUAGGGGAGCGGGGAAUUCCUGGUGUAGCGGUGAAAUGCGCAGAUAUCAGGAGGAACACCAGUGGCGAAGGCGCCGCUCUGGGCCGUGACUGACGCUGAGGAGCGAAAGCGUGGGGAGCAAACAGG
rnacentral:rRNA from 1 species